rnacentral:misc_RNA from 1 species
UUCUUACAAGAUGGAGAAAAGAUGUAAAUAGAUCCUAUGUUCUUGACCACAGCUGCGGUGGUAUCGAUACUAAUCACCCAGUUCACAGGUAAGACCAUUUGUACAAAUGUAUCGUGCGAGUUGUAGAGGGAGGGAGGAAAUCACAAGAUCGCUAUAAGGUUACUCUGCAAGCUUUGGGUGAGACAUUAAACAGGCUUCAUCUUUUAGAAGACUAGCCAUGUAAAUUAUUAGGGACCUUGAUGACUAG